rnacentral:rRNA from 1 species
UACGUAGGGUGCAAGCGUUAUCCGGAUUCACUGGGUUUAAAGGGUGCGUAGGUGGGUUGGUAAGUCAGUGGUGAAAUCUCCGAGCUUAACUUGGAAACUGCCAUUGAUACUAUCAGUCUUGAAUACCGUGGAGGUCAGCGGAAUAUGUCAUGUAGCGGUGAAAUGCUUAGAUAUGACAUAGAACACCAAUUGCGAAGGCAGCUGGCUACACGAAUAUUGACACUGAGGCACGAAAGCGUGGGGAUCAAACAGG